rnacentral:rRNA from 1 species
GAUGAACGCUGGCGGCGUGCCUAAUACAUGCAAGUCGAGCGAACAGACGAGGAGCUUGCUCCUCUGACGUUAGCGGCGGACGGGUGAGUAACACGUGGAUAACCUACCUAUAAGACUGGGAUAACUUCGGGAAACCGGAGCUAAUACCGGAUAAUAUAUUGAACCGCAUGGUUCAAUAGUGAAAGACGGUUUUGCUGUCACUUAUAGAUGGAUCCGCGCCGCAUUAGCUAGUUGGUAAGGUAACGGCUUACCAAGGGAACGAUGCGUAGCCGACCUGAGAGGGUGAUCGGCCACACUGGAACUGAGACACGGUCCAGACUCCUACGGGAGGCAGCAGUAGGGAAUCUUCCGCAAUGGGCGAAAGCUUGACGGAGCAACGCCGCGUGAGUGAUGAAGGUCUUCGGAUCGUAAAACUCUGUUAUUAGGGAAGAACAAAUGUGUAAGUAACUAUGCACGUCUUGACGGUACCUAAUCAGAAAGCCACGGCUAACUACGUG